AGUGAACGCUGGCGGUAGGCCUAACACAUGCAAGUCGAACGGCAGCACAGUAAGAGCUUGCUCUUACGGGUGGCGAGUGGCGGACGGGUGAGGAAUACAUCGGAAUCUACUUUUUCGUGGGGGAUAACGUAGGGAAACUUACGCUAAUACCGCAUACGACCUACGGGUGAAAGCAGGGGAUCUUCGGACCUUGCGCGAUUGAAUGAGCCGAUGUCGGAUUAGCUAGUUGGCGGGGUAAAGGCCCACCAAGGCGACGAUCCGUAGCUGGUCUGAGAGGAUGAUCAGCCACACUGGAACUGAGACACGGUCCAGACUCCUACGAGAGGCAGCAGUGGGGAAUAUUGGACAAAGGGCGCAAGCCUGAUCCAGCCAUACCGCGUGGGUGAAGAAGGCCUUCGGGUUGUAAAGCCCUUUUGUUGGGAAAGAAAAGCAGCAGGUUAAUACCCCGCUGUUCUGACGGUACCCAAAGAAUAAGCACCGGCUAACUUCGUG
rnacentral:rRNA from 1 species